UACGUAGGGAGCAAGCGUUGUCCGGAAUCAUGGGGCGUCAAGCGCGCGUAGGUGGCUUCGUAAGUCUGCUGUGAAAGUCAAAGGCUCAACCUUUGAAAGCCGGUGGAUACUGCGGGGCUAGAGUACGGAAGAGGCGAGUGGAAUUCCUGGUGUAGCGGUGGAAUGCGCAGAUAUCAGGAGGAACACCAAUAGCGAAGGCAGCUCGCUGGGACGUUACUGACACUGAGGCGCGAAAGCGUGGGGAGCGAACAGG
rnacentral:rRNA from 1 species